rnacentral:lncRNA from 1 species
CCCCGUAAUCUCUGUUUUCUUGGGUGUUUGGAAGCCAUCUCUAAAGCAUUUCUCAAAAAGUAGUGUAAGAAUAUCCUCUAAGCAAUGACAGAAUUGUUGGAAUGAAAGUGACCUCCUAAGAUCCUUUGAACUCUUUCAAGCUAUGUUUCGAGACUUUCUGGGCUUUGACGGGGCUGGGCAUUCACUGUAAAAGCAGUCAAUGCCUCAGUGAGACCACAAGCAAAACUGUGAGUGUCUUAAGCAGGGACCACACAACUCUUGUGAGUAUUUGCAUAUUUUAGCAACUCUGUUGAGUGUGAAUCUCAAAGCCGAGAAUGCUGCUCAUUAAUUUCCUUCAUUAAAUAUCUUGGGCCAUCUACUUUUCUGAACAGACAUUACCUGUGUUGGAUCCCUUGGAGCUGAUUGUGUGGGUGCGGGUGUGUGCGCACGCUGGCUGGAAUAUAGGUGUGUAUAUGUGACAGCGUGCUUG